GACGAACGCUGGCGGCGUGCUUAACACAUGCAAGUCGAACGGAAAGGCCCUGCUUUUGUGGGGUGCUCGAGUGGCGAACGGGUGAGUAACACGUGAGUAACCUGCCCUUGACUUUGGGAUAACUUCAGGAAACUGGGGCUAAUACAGGAUAGGAGCUCCUGCUGCAUGGUGGGGGUUGGAAAGUUUCGGCGGUUGGGGAUGGACUCGCGGCUUAUCAGCUUGUUGGUGGGGUAGUGGCUUACCAAGGCUUUGACGGGUAGCCGGCCUGAGAGGGUGACCGGCCACAUUGGGACUGAGAUACGGCCCAGACGCCUACGGGAGGCAGCAGUGGGGAAUAUUGCACAAUGGGCGGAAGCCUGAUGCAGCAACGCCGCGUGCGGGAUGACGGCCUUCGGGGUGUAAACCGCUUUCGCCUGUGACGAAGCGUGAGUGACGGUAAUGGGUAAAGAAGCACCGGCUAACUACGUG
rnacentral:rRNA from 1 species